UCGGGGUGCGCGGCGCUGGGACUGGAGCAGUUAGAGCGGCCGCCCCUCGGGGCCGCCCAACCACCACCCCGCACUCCUCAGCUCCGGCCGCGGCAGCAACAACUGCGAACUUUCUCCGGCUGAAGUCCCUGGGCCCCUUUCCCCUCUUCCUCCCUGCUUCGGUCCCGCCCCCCCCCCCGCCUCGUCUCUAGUCUCCCCUAGACUUCUCCCCCCUCCGGACUCCCAGCUUGCUUCUGGCCUCCUCUUCCUCUGGCCUCUUUGUUCAGCUCCCCUUCUCCCUGCCUCUUCCCGGACUCCCUUUCCCCCCAUCCCCAGCUCCCCCCAGCCUUUUCCACUUUCCCUCUUUCCCCAAGACCCCCCCCCGCCUUAGCUCCUCCUCUCCAUUUCCCAUUCUUUCUUCUCCUUCACUGGUCGGCACUCCAACAGCAUCUUUCCUCGAUCCCCAUCUCUCCUCCCUCUACAACUCCCACUGUCCCCUCUCCUUUCCCUCCCCUGGUUACCCCGCUCCUGGAAGCCCCCCGUCCCAGGCCCUCUUUGCUCCUUCCUCUCCUUGGCCAUGCUGCACCCCCCGAAGUCUGCACCCCCAACCGAGAUCUAUCCGUCGGAGAAGAUCGUGGUCCUCCUGUCCUGCGUCCUCUCCUUCGUGGGUUCCAGUCUCCUCAUAGGCACCCAUGCCCUGUGGCCGGACCUGCGGAGCCGGGCUCGGCAGCUGCUCCUCUUCUUGUCCCUGGCGGACCUGCUCUCGGCCGCCUCCUACUUCUAUGGGGUACUUCAGGACUUCCAGGACACCACCUGGGACUGCGUGGUGCAGGGAGCCCUCUCCACCUUCGCCAACACCAGCUCCUUCUUCUGGACCGUGGCCAUCGGGGUGUACUUGUAUAUCACCAUCGUCCGCAACAGCCAGGGCCCCUGGGCUGGGACCCGCCUCCUCUACUGCUUCCACAGCAUCAGCUGGGGCAUCCCGCUGGCCAUCACCGCAGCAGCUGUUGUCCUGAAGAAGAUUGGCUAUGACGCCUCCGACGUGUCCGUGGGCUGGUGCUGGGUCAACAUCGAGGCCGAAGACCGGCUGUUGUGGAUGCUGCUGGCGGGGAAGCUCUGGGAGAUGCUGGCCUACCUGGUGCUCCCGGUACUCUAUAUCCUCAUCAGGAAGCACAUCAGCAGGGCGCACGCCGCACUCUCCGAGUACCGGCCCCUCCUGGCGGAGACGUACGCUUGUCAGCACCGGACCUCAGUGGCGGAUAAGAAGCUCAUUCUCAUCCCUCUCAUCUUCAUCUGCCUGCGUGUCUGGAGCACAGUGCGAUUCAUCCUGACUCUCUGCAACUCCCCGGCUGUGCAGACUCCUGUGCUGGUGGUCUUACAUGGAAUUGGGAACACAUUCCAAGGAGGUGCCAACUGCAUCAUGUUCGUCUUCUGUACUCAAGCCGUCCGAGCCCGGCUCUUCUCUCUCUGCUGCUGCUGCUGCCAGCGCUUGUCUCCCUCCCUGGAGAAUGCAGAUGGCAAUUACAGGGGCCCCUCGCCCUCAAGGACAGGAGAGUCCCAGCAUUCUAAAUAGACCCUAGCUGGCCUGCCAAGCAUCUGUUUGACCCCAGCCCGCUUGCCUAAAUCUCUGGGUGGCUUCUGGUUUCCUGGAACACCCCUCCCCCCCUUGAGCUGUGAGUCCCUGCUGGGGGUGGUGAUUCUGGGCAGGGGAUUGGGUUGCACAUAGAGUGUGUGUUUGCUGCUCAUAGGUCCGUCUUUCGUGUGUGUUCCCAAACAUGGGGGUGGAGGCUGUACGCUCCUGUUCUACUAUGUCCUAGGACUCUUGGGUAAUGCUUUACCAUGUGACCUACCUCAUGGGAGGUCAGGGAGCCUCUGCCUCUGUGUGUGUGUGUGUGUGUGUGUGUGUGUGUGUGUGUGUGUGUGUGUAGAGGGAGAGAGAGAGAGCGAGAGUGCGCAUAGUAUGUGGAGAAGAGGAAGCCAGAUCUCAGGGUCUCAUCGACUUGGCCAAGGAGGGAGGAUCUCACAGACUAGGGUUGUUAAUCUUUCUGAAGCUGUGUGCUCUCCUCUAUUAGAGAACAUGGUGGGGGGGGGGGUUGGUGGUUGAGGGACUCCCCCUGCCAGGAGUCAUCCUGGACCUUGCACUCUACGCCAAGGAAAACGUUGAAGAAGUCCAAUCUUCCCAACCUCGGUUUACACAAAGUGUCCGACAACCUAGGAAUUGGCAAAAGAUUUCAAAGAGGUUUCUGGGUGACUAAUCAUAGCAAAACCCCAGCUGAGAGUGUCUGAUGGAGAACAUUCGAAGGGAUAGCAGGAGUUGUUGACUACCUGCAAGAGACACCUGAAUCUGUUGGUGCCUUUGGCGCCCUCCUGUGGAUUACUCCUGGUACAGCUACUUGCUUCAAACACUAACCAGAGCAGUGUGUUCGAAUUUUUGCAUGUCAUGGACCCUUGUAACAGCCUGAAGAAGCUUAUGGGCCUCUUUUCUAAAGAAUGUUUUUAAGUAAUUGCAGGAAAUGCAAGUUAUGUGAAAAUAAAGAUGUGGGGUUUUUUUUUUCCUACUCCAAAGUCACAGACUCACGUCCCCCCACCCACACACACAUACACAAACACCAAAUUUAUCCAUGGACUAGACCCUGGGGUAAGAAACCUUUGUCUAGAGUCUAGCUUGCCUAGAGGUCCCCUGCCACCCCCGUCAUCUCUUUUUUUGAGAAUAGAAUUACAAGAAAAUACUUGAGUAAAGUCACAUUUCCCCCUUCUCACUGGGAUUUUUGCUAACACACCGACUUUUUUGGUGGGAAAAGACAUCCAGAAAGCAGUUAAAUGAAUGAUCUGCUAGGGUGUUUUUUUGCUCUCCCACCUGCCCCCCCAAAAAAAACAAAUACUACAGCGUGUUGAGGGGAAGGUGAGCCUCUGGCUGAAGAUAGAGUCGCUGUCUUGGCCGAUUUGAGAGGAAGUGAUGAAAUGGGUCUCGAGGCUAGCCUCUCUGAGUUUCAGGGGACAAAAAAGACCUGGAAUAAGCUGCUUUGGAUGUAACUGCUCAUGCAGCCCAACUUCCUCUUCUUCUUUUUUUAAUUCCGGAAAGUAAUUCCACCCCCUCCCCUUCACCCGACAACUACUGUGGCCUCUUUCUCUCUUUCCCAGUUUUCCAACACCCUGGGCCAGUACUGAGCAGACAGUCUGAGCCUGAGACUGGACUAUCCAAUAGCCCUUCCCAGAGAAAUGGGACCAGGUGACUGGGCGCUACAGGAAAAGAAGCUGAAGCGUUACUGAUCCCCAUUACUGAUACUCAGAAUUAAAACCAUAGCCCCUCUUUAUUUUGAUUCCUGUUUUGCUGGCAACACACUUUUUUUCAGAGAGGAGACCUGUGAGUUGAUGAUAAAUAAUACUUGUGGUUCCUUUUAGAAACAGUUUGAAUUUUUACCUUGGGCAGGGAAGGAAAACCAAAAACCUUCACUCUCAAAACCUUACAUGUGUUGUUAAGUCAAGAGUAUUUAAGUAACUCAUGCCAGGCUCUGUGCUGAGCGAUUUACAAAUAUUAGCUCCUUUGAUCCUCAACAACAAUCCCGGGAGGUAGGUGGCAUUAUUGUCUCCAUUUCACACAUGAGGAAACUGAGGCACACAGAGGGCAAACACAGGGAUCAUACAGCUCGGAAGUGCCUGAUGUAGAAUUUGAACUCGAGCCUUGCUGACUGUAGUUGUGUGCACUAUGGCGUCACCUGGUGACCUGUAUGACCUCUGCAUUCCCUUAAGAGUUCUAGAUAUAUGAUCCUGUAGGAUUCUUAACCUCUAUAAAAUGAGAGGCAUCAUGACUUAGUGGGGAUAGGCAUCAACUCCUCCCUCUCACCUUUCCUAGCUAUGUGACCCUGGGCAAGUCAAUUCACUUCUGUUUGCCUCAGUUUCUUCAUUUGUAAAAUGGGGAUAAUUAUAGCAUCUCCCUCUUCGGAUUGGUUUGAGGAUCGAGAUAAUAACUGUAAAACACUCAACACAGUGUUUGGCACGUAGUGAUUGCUAUUGUUAUUUCAUUUUCCUCAACAGGUAAGGCUGAAAAAUAACCUGUAGAUGGAGCCAGAAACUCAGGAGCCUAUCUCAGGGCUCAACCCCAGUGGGGAAGAAGGGAGGGAGGUUUCAUCCCUGAGUGCCCUUUUUCUCCCAGCAGCUCCUUCCCAGGGGGCCUCUCAAGAUGUUAGUUGGACAUCCUCCCCCUCCCUCUUUAGUGCCCUCUGCUCCCCGCCCCUUUUCCCAACAAACCCACGUCUAGGAUUUCUUCUCUCCAGGUGUGCACAGGGGCAGGGAAUGCAUACUGGCAUCACCUGCCCCACCCAGGACAGGUUUACAGGAAGUCUCAGCCCCAGCCCACCCUUUGUGCAACGCUGUGGGGAAGCUGAGAUGACAGCAACUGGUCCAAACCUGCCCUUGUGGUCCUUCUCCCUUGGAGAACAUAAAAGCAUUUAGUUUAAAAGAUAAAUUAUCUCUUGGAAGCAGGGUUUUAAAAGAAACAACAAAAACUUCUUGACUGAAUAAUAUACCUUUACCAGGUGUUCUUGCCACCAGUACACCAGGUUCUGUGUGGAGCCCGCAAUUUAGUUUCCCCAGGCUACCCCAUGUCUUCCUCUCCUGUGGCCAGGACAGCCUUGAAGAGGGAUGGGAUGACCCCAAAGCUUUUGGAUAUAGCCCUGAGCCAGCCAACACCACCACCCCCCAAUCAGAUUUCACUCUCUCCAAUGUGCUCUUAAUUGUGUACAUCUGGAACACAAAUUUUGAAGGCUGCUGUGAGCCCCUUGGGGUGUUUUUCUCAUCCUUUCCUGUUUUCUAACCCAAUUACCAGCCAAAUGUCCAUUUCUUUCUGUGUGGGGGGGGGGGGGGCGGUGUUUGUAGAGAAAUGAUUUCUAUUUCCGCACGGACAGGGUCCUCUUGUCCACCACAGGGCAAACGCAUUUUUUAUAAAAUUCUCGUAAUUUAAUAAACUGCUAUGUGUUCGUGGGAGUUGAUGUAUUUGGAGGGAAGGAUGUUUGGCUCAAUGUGUUUGUUGAUGAAGCAUCCACUCUGAUUCCAGGGAGGAAGGGACAUAGGACAGCAGAAAGAAGGAUGGGUUUAGGGCAGCUAGGUGGUGCAGUGGAUAAAGCACUGGCCUUGGAUUCAGGAGGACCUGAGUUCAAAUCCAG